UGCUGCUUGAGUUCAUUGUCGUCACCAUCUCCUCGUCGUCGUCUCCGUCUUCACCAUCCCGGGGCACUGUUAGACAGCCUACCAACUGUUCGAACUAAGUAGUGCCACCGACAAUAGAAGGUCUUAAUAAUAAUAGUGUGCACCCAUGUAGGGUGUGUGUUAUCCCGAUGGUGCUUGUUAAAUAAAAAGUUCCUCCAGUUAUUACUGUCUCAGAGUUGAGUCACUCCACAAGCACAGCCACACGAGACAGUAUUCCCACCUUACAAGUCUGUGACUUAAAAUUAAACUACAAACUUUUUCUUAUUUCACCAGCGAUGGGAGGAAGGACAGCCCGGAGGAACCGUUGCCAGGAGGCAGCGCGAGUGUCACCACCCCACCGCCCCCAUAAACCGGCUCGUGCUCAGUUUCCACGAGCUUCGAGAUGGUGCUGGUGUAGUGUGGGCAUCACGGACGGGGUGAACGCAUACUGCGAUUAGCACGAACGUGGUGUUCUUGAGGAACGCAACUAUACUGCAUUAUAGGAGAACGGACUGUACGUACGUACAAGAGGAGCGGCUCCCACGCACACCCAAAACAUCGCCGGGCAACCAUCGGUCACUUUGGACGAGUCACACUACCCCACGAUUGCACAAAAAGUCACAUCCGGGGUGCCCUCC